GCACCUCUUCAGGGUAGCUGUGCCAUAGA
rnacentral:piRNA from 1 species